rnacentral:lncRNA from 1 species
UGUGGAUACACAUUUAAUAAAAUACAUAAAAAAAAAUGAGAGAGUAAGAUAGAAGAAUAAAGGACUGGUACGUUUAAGCUAUCAAAAUAAACUUUUAAUGGAUUUGAAUUGGUUAAGCAGUUAACCCUACAUUUGAACAAAUGGAUUUGAUGUUUGAUGUUAGCAAAACUUUUAUUCAUGAAGUUAUCCAUAGUUUUCAUCAAGCAUUCAGAUUAAGGAUAAUAUGGCCUUCAGCCGAAGAAUUGUGGAAUUUAUGAAGGGUGAUUGGCCAGAAUAAAAGAGGUAUGUGGAUCUAUUGAUGGAACAUCCCAAAGAAUAAAUCGCCCGACCUAAAAAAAAACAAUACAGGCAUUGUUUUAUAAUGGGCAUUGUCAUAUUCACUGUAUAAAUACGCAAGUCAUAAUAUACAUAGGAAAGAAAAUAAAAUACAUCAAAACUGAUUUACUGGGUCAUAACAACGACGCAAUGACUUGCACAUAGAUGGGUGCGAUCGGUCCACACGAGAUAUUCCAAUUCCUCGUGAUUGUUACUUACUUGGCGAUACCAUAUAUCCAUCGGAACAUCAUAUUGCAUCAUUAUAGAAUGUAAGGCAACUAUAAAAUCAAAAUGCAAAAAUCCGCGAUCAACGCAAACGUUUUAAUCAAAAGAUUCGUGCAAGAAGAGUUAAUGUAUCAAUCAUUCCAUAAGACGAAUAAAAAUUUAUAAAAUAAUAGAUUCUCUUUAAAGACAUAGUCGGAACGAUAUUGCACCUAUUAUAGAACUAUGUGCAGCUCUUACCCUAUGACGAUACCUGCUUCACGAAUUAUGUACAUCAUAACUGAAUUGCAUCUUAAAUUGUAUAUUACUUGUGUCACUGUAUUCAAUAAUGGUUGAAUUGAAGUUUGUUUUUUUGAUAGAUUCGUGUGAAUUGAUGAAUGGAAGUACAUAAUUAUCAAAGGUACUAGGCUUAUAGUUUGAUACGCCAGACGCUCGUUUCGUCUACAUAAGACUCAUCAGUGACGCUCAGAUCAAAAAUAGUUAGAAAGACAAAGCAGAACAAAAUUUCCGUCUAGAUACUAGCAUUUGAUCAUUAACAAGCUUG